rnacentral:rRNA from 1 species
AGCGACGCCGCGUGAGGGAUGAAGGCCUUCGGGUCGUAAACCUCUGUCAGGAGGGAAGAACGGCCGCGAGGUGAACAAUCUCGUGGUCUGACGGUACCUCCGAAGGAAGCGCCGGCUAACUCCGUGCCAGCAGCCGCGGUAAUACGGAGGGCGCAAGCGUUGUUCGGAAUCACUGGGCGUAAAGCGCGUGUAGGCGGCUUGGCAAGUCGGGUGUGAAAUCCCGAGGCUCAACCUCGGAACUGCACUCGAAACUGCUUCGCUCGAGUCCCGGAGAGGGUGGCGGAAUUCCCGGUGUAGGGGUGAAAUCCGUAGAUAUCGGGAGGAACACCAGUGGCGAAGGCGGCCACCUGGACGGUGACUGACGCUGAGACGCGAAAGCGUGGGGAGCAAACAGGAUUAGAUACCCUGGUAGUCCACGCCGUAAACGGUGAGUGCUAGACGUCGCGGGUAUUGACCCCCGCGGUGUCGCAGCUAACGCGUUAAGCACUCCGCCUGGGGAGUACGGCCGCAAGGCUA